AACGAACGCUGGCGGCAUGCCUAACACAUGCAAGUCGAACGAGACCUUCGGGUCUAGUGGCGCACGGGUGCGUAACGCGUGGGAAGCUACCCUUGGGUUCGGAAUAACUCAGAGAAAUUUGAGCUAAUACCGGAUGAUGACGUAAGUCCAAAGAUUUAUCGCCCAAGGAUGAGCCCGCGUAGGAUUAGCUAGUUGGUGGGGUAAAGGCCCACCAAGGCGACGAUCCUUAGCUGGUCUGAGAGGAUGAUCAGCCACACUGGGACUGAGACACGGCCCAGACUCCUACGGGAAGCAGCAGUGGGGAAUAUUGGACAAUGGGCGAAAGCCUGAUCCAGCAAUGCCGCGUGAGUGAUGAAGGCCUUAGGGUUGUAAAGCUCUUUUACCCGGGAUGAUAAUGACAGUACCGGGAGAAUAAGCUCCGGCUAACUCCGUGCCAGCAGCCGCGGUAAUACGGAGGGAGCUAGCGUUGUUCGGAAUUACUGGGCGUAAAGCGCACGUAGGCGGCUUUGUAAGUAAGAGGUGAAAGCCUGGUGCUCAACACCAGAACUGCCUUUUAGACUGCAUCGCUUGAAUCCAAGAGAGGUGAGUGGAAUUCCGAGUGUAGAGGUGAAAUUCGUAGAUAUUCGGAGGAACACCAGUGGCGAAGGCGGCUCACUGGCUUGGUAUUGA
rnacentral:rRNA from 1 species